UAAACAAAAUGCAAUAACAUUUAACACAACAAAAGUGAAUACUCAGUCAUACGUUCUUUUUUCUUUAACCGAUCCCUUCUCUUUCUUUCAAAGACUGCAAUAAAAAGCAAAUCCACAUCUUUCUCACAUUCAACGAUUGGAAUCCAUACGGUGGCGGGGUGACUCCGUAGAUGGAGUCACGGCUGGAGCAGGAACUCUCGCCUCGGGGAGUGUCGGGAUUCCUCGCGGUGGCUGCUCGAGAGUCUUGCGGCGUCGAACGUGUUCCUCGGUUCUCCUUAUUAUUUUUCUGUGCAAACAAAACUGAAAUAUAAUUGUUGUGUUAGUGAAUUCGUUGGAUCUGUAUGUGGUUCGAUUGUUGCUGUUUGUUGAAUCCGGUUCGAAUCGUAAAGUUGCUGUUGAAGUUGCUUGUGAUGAUGAACGCUUCAGAUCCAUUUAAGGUCGACGUCGAAGAGAUGGCUUGCGAUUUCGUGUUCUUCUUCUUUGCUUUUCGCCUCGAUCUCGAUCUGUUGCUUUGCUGUCGAUAACAAUCCAUAAUUUUAUGCUUUGGUGGCAAAAUUGUUAGUUGUUCGUGUGUAGGUGAGAAUAGGGUUGGAAAUUGUUCGUCAGAGAGAGAGGUUUGGUUUCUCCGUCAAAGGUUUUCUCCAUGAGGAAGAGGCUUAGGAUUUAUAAGGGUUAGUCCCUUUGUACGUGGAAGAAAAAGUUAAUAUUUAUAGAAUCAAAUUAGGUUAAAAUAAGAAAGGAAUAAAGUCACAAAUUAAUCAACUAUAA